rnacentral:pre_miRNA from 1 species
AUCCGUGCUGAGAUUUUGUCACACACCAGACCACAAGGGCUGAUCAGACUUCCAAGAU